rnacentral:rRNA from 1 species
UACGAAGGUCCCAAGCGUUAUCCGGAUUUAUUGGGUUUAAAGGGUGCGUAGGCGGACUAUUAAGUCAGUGGUGAAAGCCCCAAGCUUAACUUGGGAACUGCCAUUGAUACUGAUGGUCUUGAGUACAUUUGAGGUGGGCGGAAUGUGUCAUGUAGCGGUGAAAUGCUUAGAUAUGACACAGAACACCGAUUGCGAAGGCAGCUCACUAAACUGUAACUGACGCUGAGGCACGAAAGCGUGGGGAGCAAACCGG